UAGGGAAUCUUCCGCAAUGGGCGAAAGCCUGACGGAGCAACGCCGCGUGAGUGAUGAAGGUCUUCGGAUCGUAAAACUCUGUUAUUAGGGAAGAACAAAUGUGUAAGUAACUAUGCAUGUCUUGACGGUACCUAAUCAGAAAGCCACGGCUAACUACGUGCCAGCAGCCGCGGUAAUACGUAGGUGGCAAGCGUUAUCCGGAAUUAUUGGGCGUAAAGCGCGCGUAGGCGGUUUUUUAAGUCUGAUGUGAAAGCCCACGGCUCAACCGUGGAGGGUCAUUGGAAACUGGAAAACUUGAGUGCAGAAGAGGAAAGUGGAAUUCCAUGUGUAGCGGUGAAAUGCGCAGAGAUAUGGAGGAACACCAGUGGCGAAGGCGACUUUCUGGUCUGUAACUGACGCUGAUGUGCGAAAGCGUGGGGAUCAAACAGGAUUAGAUACCCUGGUAGUCCACGCCGUAAACGAUGAGUGCUAAGUGUUAGGGGGUUUCCGCCCCUUAGUGCUGCAGCUAACGCAUUAAGCACUCCGCCUGGGGAGUACGACCGCAAGGUUG
rnacentral:rRNA from 1 species